rfam:Triticum aestivum genome assembly, contig: Triticum_aestivum_CS42_TGACv1_scaffold_405437_5BL
UAGGUACUCCCUCCGUCCGAAAAUAAUUGUCAUCAAAAUGGAUAAAAAGGGAUAUAUCUAGAACUAAUAUACAUCUAGAUACAUCCCAUUUUAUUCAUUUUGAUGACAAGUAUUUCCAGACCGAGGGAGUAUAUA